UUCUCCAGGCAGGAAUACUGGAAUGGGUUGCCAUGUUCUCCAGGGGAUCUUCCAGACCCAGGGACUAAACCUAUGUCUCUUGUGGCUCGUACAUUACUGGCAGAUGCCUUACUGCUGAGCCACUAGGGAAGCCCCUCUCUGCUUACCUUGCCCAUCUAUUCUUGCAUGCUGACUACUUUGUCCAUUAGUGCCCUUAACAUAUCAAUUAUAAGUUGCUUCAAAUUCCCAGUCUGAUAAUUCUAACAUCUCUGCCAUAACUGAGUCUGGUUCUGAUGCUUGCUUGCUCUGACCCUUCAAAGUGUGUUUUUAAUUUUAAAUUAAAAAACAUUUUUUUCUUGAUAGCCAGAUAUAAUGAAUUGGUUAAGAGGAACUGCUGUUCCUUUGGUGAUGUGGUGAAUUGCAGGGCAAGGGGAAGCAUUUUAUAAUCCUAAGAUUAGAGCUCAGUCUUUUAGUGAGGCUAUGGCUCUGAACUGUGAACUUCACAGGUACUUCUCAGCACUCCCCUCUCUUUAGGUGGGCAGGAUGGCUGGAGGGAGCUGGAGUUGGGGACUUCCUUUCUCCUAUGUGGAAGGCUACAGCCAGCUGAAGUCAGUUUGGAUCUGAUAAAGCUCCAGCAUGUGAGGCUCUGGUUAAAUAGUUUCUCUUGAGAGUGGAUCUUGUUAAGAACAGAAUGCUCAGAAGUAUUUCAAAAUGGUUCCUCUUCCCCUCCCCUUACCAGAAGCAUGGGGGAAUUUUUCUCCAGUGUUCACUGUAAGAAUCCAGUAGAGCUCCAGGAAGUAAAACUCACAGAAGUUUCAGGUGUCCUGAUGACUGGAUCCCUCUGGAAUUUUUGACUUGCCCGCACUGAGCCUCCAGUAAUUCAUCAGUUACAGUUCAGGUUUCCCUAACGUGGCGCUGGUUCCCAUGAAGGGUUCUUCCUUGGACACUAAUAAUCAUGCCAAGACCCUCUGUUAUUGCUACUCCACCCUGGGACAGCCAGUGUCUUCUGGGAGCAGGUGUGGUUAGCAGGUGGCUGUGUGCCUGGGUUCGCACCAGCAGAUGAGAGGAUUGGGGAGGCUCUUGCCCAGUGGAGCCAAUAACGUGGUCAAGAGAGACCCGACCUCAGGAAAGAGGAAGAGGCCCGAAUGAGCGAGCGGCAGGGGAAGCAGCAGCGGAAAUGCCAAGCGCUCCUGGAGCCCAUGAGAACAGAAAGCCGAGGUCAGGGAGCCCAUUCACCAGAGCAGAAGGGGAGCCUAAGAAGAACACACACAAAGCUGGAAAAAGAGAAAGCACAGCAUAUUUCCUUAGCAAGAAUGAGAAAGCCACUCACCCUUCUCCUCCCCUCCCCAAACACGCGUGGAGUUUGGUUUCACUCGUCUCUUUGAGGAGGUGUUCCCCUAUGCGCUCCGGCCUACCGAUUUACAAGAACAUGUAUUCAUCACUCCCAUUAAAAAGGAAUGUGAAUGUCACCCAUGCCUAGUUUCUCAAGUAGGGCAGGUUUGAGUACUUUAUUUCCUGCCACAUGAAGGUUUGCUGUCAAGCUGAGGUGAUCACAUGCAGUGGGCUGAGCAGAAGCAGACUGAGUCCAAACGCUGGCCCUGUCACUCUCAGUGUGACCUUGGAUAGGUUCUUCAUAGAGCUAAACACUCCGUUUUCUUAUAGUAUGAAUUAUAACAUUCCAGAUCCACAAUCCCUUUGUAGCAAUUCUGAAAUCCAAAGGGCUCCAAAACCACAGAUUUUUUUGUAAACUUGUACAAAAUUCAUUUGAUGGCAAAACCUGAUCUGAACUAAUAAUGUAAGACUUAGUUUUCAUUUAUCCCAUUAAACAUGAUUAUCUGGAAGUUUGCUGCAGGAACAUCAGUGUGUUUGAUAACGGAUGGAUAUUAUGGGGCUGUUAUCAAUAAUCCAGUAUAUGCACUGAUUUGUCUCUCCCAAAUAUGAACCAUUUUGAAUUCUGAAGCAUA